AAUAUGGCGUGUGACUGGCGGAUAAGUGGAUGAACCACAGGGAGCACGCAGUAUGGAUUUUGUUGGAUUGAGCCGACCGCCUGGGCACGUGUG
rfam:Clostridium sp. FS41 CLFS41_contig000065, whole genome shotgun sequence.